UCUCAGCAUGCAACUCGGAUAUCUCACCCUCACUGUUUUCUUGGGGCAACUGCUCGGCACCAUGGGGCAGAUCACUGUCACCCAGCAAGAAGGACAAGUCACAGUAAAGGAGAGAGAGAACUUUCAAACAACUUGCACAUACCAAGCGUCCUUCUCUCCAUAUUUCUCUUGGUACCAGCAAAAGAAAGGCCAAGCCCCACAGCUCAUUUCGUAUCAUGCAGCUGCUGGCUCCAAGCGGAGUGGCCGUUUCACCACUUGGCUGAACACCACAGGGAAAUACAGCCUCCUGAAGCUGCAGGAGGUCGCGCUGUCUGACAGUGCCUUGUACCUCUGUGCUGGGCAAGACACCCUGGUGCAGGAAGCUGCCUCAGCUGUGCAAUAACUCGAG